GAACUAUAGAGUUUGAUCCUGGCUCAGAUUGAACGCUGGCGGCAUGCCUUACACAUGCAAGUCGAACGGCAGCACGGGAGCAAUCCUGGUGGCGAGUGGCGAACGGGUGAGUAAUAUAUCGGAACGUGCCCAGUCGUGGGGGAUAACGCAGCGAAAGUUGUGCUAAUACCGCAUACGAUCUAUGGAUGAAAGCGGGGGAUCGCAAGACCUCGCGCGAUUGGAGCGGCCGAUAUCAGAUUAGGUUGUUGGUGAGGUAAAAGCUCACCAAGCCUGCGAUCUGUAGCUGGUCUGAGAGGACGACCAGCCACACUGGAACUGAGACACGGUCCAGACUCCUACGGGAGGCAGCAGUGGGGAAUUUUGGACAAUGGACGAAAGUCUGAUCCAGCAAUGCCGCGUGCAGGACGAAGGCCUUCGGGUUGUAAACUGCUUUUGUACAGAACGAAAAAGUCUUUAAUAACACUAGAGGCUCAUGACGGUACUGUAAGAAUAAGCACCGGCUAACUACGUGCCAGCAGCCGCGGUAAUACGUAGGGUGCAAGCGUUAAUCGGAAUUACUGGGCGUAAAGCGUGCGCAGGCGGUUAUAUAAGACAGAUGUGAAAUCCCCGG
rnacentral:rRNA from 1 species